GACACUAAUCAAAUAAAUGAGAUCAUGAACGAGAUGCUAUGUUUGGAUCUUCUGGUUAUAAGGAUGGUGAUAAUGGUGAAAGUGGUGAAGAAGAGGCGGCUGGCUAGGGGGCGAUGAAUAUAAGAUGUGGAAAGAUAUAUCAAGGAAUACUGAUGAAUAUGACAAGAUGGAGGUGGAUGCCCUUUCAGAUAGAUGAUUUAUUGUUGGAGAGAGGGAAAUAUUGGACCUGCUUAAAAGGAGCAUGUUUCAAAGAGUGAGGAGGACCAAUACUCCGCUCUUCGUUGUUGAGGCAGAGAAAAUAGCUGCAGGAGUAAAGUAUUAAUUUACCUGCACAGUACAUAUGAGGGUCAUGUAGGAAAAUGGAUGUCUACACAAUUUUAUGGAGAGAGAAAUGCUGUUGCAAUCCUGCUGCAACUUCUGGUCCUUCAUUUUGGGGUAUCAUGGGAUCAGUUUACCGUUGGUGCCAAAUUUAUUGAUCUUGCAUAAGGAUAAGCAAGACAAUUCUACAGAAUGCAACUUCAGUACAGAGAAUUCGGUUGCUGUGCAGUAGGUUUACCAGCAGAAACAGAGAAACAAAAAACCAAGCAGUGGAUUGUGUAUAAAAAGAAGUUUAUUAAAGAAUACACAUAUAUUGCAGAACUUGAAGGAAGUAUAUUGGAGUCCUUGUGCAUGUAAUACAAGGAGUAAGAAUUCCAAAGAUCAUGACAGCAUCUCUGCCAUUUUAUCAGGCCUCCUAAAUCCUGGAUCAAGGCUUUUACUUUCAGAAAUGAAAAAAAGAAAAAAGUGUGGUAAGUUUUAAAAAACUAAUGUUUUUUUUUUGAGAAGCAGAAUUGGUUGAAUGAUAGAUAGCAUCUAUAUGCUCCAUCU